rnacentral:rRNA from 1 species
UACGUAGGGUGCAAGCGUUGUCCGGAAUUAUUGGGCGUAAAGAGCUCGUAGGCGGUUUGUCGCGUCGGCUGUGAAAACCUGAGGCUCAACCUCAGGCCUGCAGUCGAUACGGGCGGACUUGAGUACUGCAGGGGAGACUGGAAUUCCUGGUGUAGCGGUGAAAUGCGCAGAUAUCAGGAGGAACACCGGUGGCGAAGGCGGGUCUCUGGGCAAUAACUGACGCUGAGGAGCGAAAGCGUGGGGAGCGAACAGG